UUCCGGUAUGGCGUUGCCGGGGUUGAUUCCGGAGGCUAGCAACUGUUGCCUUGAGGACGAGCGCCAUAGCCACCGUAGUCCUGGCGACUGUUACCCCGUCAAACAACAACUUACGCCACAAAGUGGACAAGGUGGAGAGUUCCAUUUAACACCACCACCUGCAGAGGUUGGUAUGGCAACACAGGCCUACGUUACAGAACUCCCACCAGUUCAACAACAGCAGCAGCAACAACAGCCACAGCAGCAACAACAACCAAACCAGCAACAGUAUGUUACAGACUUGCAGACCGUUGCUGGUGCACAACCAUCACAGCAGCAACAACAGCAGCAGCAGCCGCAACCAACACCAUCCCAAAAACAGUAUGUCAGUGAGCUACAGGUAUCACAACAACCGCAGCAGCCUUCUGCUCAGAUCUCACCAGUAACAACACCACAGCAGUACAUUGUGGUUACAGUGUCAGAAGCAAAUAUGCGGCCAACGGAGACAGGCUCAGAUUCCAGCCCUUCCUCAGCUGGAGCACAAUCUGGAGUGCCAACUCAAGUGGUACAGCAAGUUCAGGCAUCGCAACAGAGGCUUCUAGUACAGAAUGAUGUGCAAUCGAAAGUGGACCAGUUCCCGCAGCUCCAGCUGCCGGGAGUCCAGCAGGUAGCAGUAAUGCAUCAGAGAUCUGUUGUACAAACAACACCACAGGCUGCAAAAACCAGCCAGGUUCAACAGUUAUCAGUACAAGCGUUACAGCAAGUUCAUGUUUCUCAGGAGGUUCAGCAGUUACAACAGGUCCCAGUGCAGCCUGUUCAACAUGUCUACUCGAACCAGGUGCAGUAUGUGGAAGGGGGUGAUGCCAGCUAUACAGGAAGCACAAUACGUUCAAACAACUACCCUUAUUCUGAAACUCAGCUGUACAACCAGAACACAGGCGGGAGUUACUAUGAAUCUCAGGGGACGCCAAACCAGGUUGCCACGCCGGUGACUUCGCAGAACGUGGUCAGUAGUGGAACGGUGCCAAUGUAUGUGACGGGAGGGCAGAUUGUGGCCAACCCAGGAGGAGGGACCUAUGUCAUCCAGGGAGGUUACAUGCUGGGGAGCUCCAGUCAGUCUUACAGUCACACCAUGCGUGCCUCUCCAGCCACAGUUCAGUGGUUAUUGGAUAAUUAUGAAACUGCAGAAGGAGUUAGCUUGCCCCGAAGCACUUUGUACUGUCAUUACCUGCUACACUGUCAGGAGCAAAAACUAGAGCCAGUAAAUGCUGCCUCAUUUGGCAAACUGAUACGAUCAGUAUUUAUGGGACUCCGGACUCGGAGACUUGGCACAAGGGGAAACUCAAAGUAUCAUUACUAUGGGCUUCGGAUUAAAGCAAACUCACCACUAAUUCGACUGAUCGAGGAUCAGCAACACUUGGCCAUAAGACAACAGCCAUUCACACAGAAGCAGAGUCCGUUUUCUCCAUGUUACAGACUCAAGCCAAUCCAGAAGGUGGAAGGGAUGACAAAUGGCAUGGGAGUUGGGCAACAGCAGGCUGGUGGCCUGUCAGAUAUCAGUGCUCAGGUGCAGCAAUAUCAGCAAUUCUUGGAUGCCUCUCGGGCUCUACCAGAAUUUGUUGAAAUUGACUUGCAGGGGAAGACAUUACCUGACGGUAUCGCCAUUGAACACGUCAAGGCGUUCCAGCACCUUUAUCGGGAGCACUGCGAGGCGAUCUUGGAUGUGAUGGUAAACUUACAGUUUACUUUGGUUGAAACCUUGUGGAAGACAUUUUGGCGAUUCAAUUCUUCCCAGUCCAGUGAUGGCUCAGGACUAUCAGUUGAUGAUGAAGCUGAGAAACGCCUCCCUAAGUCAUGCCUUGUUGUCCUCUGUAAGUAUGAGCCUUCCCUGAAGUGGACGAAAUACUGUGAUAACAUGCUUUACCAAGGUCUGGUGGAGAUCCUAAUCCCAGACGUCUUGCGGCCUAUCCCGAGUGCCUUGACUCAAGCAAUUCGGAAUUUUGCAAAAAGUUUGGAAAGCUGGUUAACCAAUGCUAUGAUGAAUGUCCCUGAAGAAAUGGUUCGUGUGAAGGUGGCAGCAGCAAGUGCCUUUGCACAGACUUUGAGGCGCUACACAUCGUUAAACCAUCUUGCUCAGGCAGCCCGUGCUGUCUUACAGAAUACUGCGCAGAUUAACCAGAUGCUGAGUGAUCUAAACCGAGUAGAUUUUGCAAAUGUUCAGGAGCAAGCCUCAUGGGUGUGUCGUUGUGAGGAUGGUAUAGUGCAAAGGCUGGAGCAGGACUUUAAGAUGACUUUGCAGCAGCAGAACUCCCUGGAGCAAUGGGCAACUUGGUUAGACAGCGUGGUGACCCAGGUCCUCAAACCAUAUCAUGGUUGCCCCAGUUUCCCCAAAGCAGCCAAACAAUUCCUUCUCAAGUGGUCUUUCUACAGUUCAAUGGUGAUUCGCGAUUUGACUUUAAGGAGUGCGGCAAGUUUUGGGUCUUUUCAUCUCAUUCGCCUUCUGUAUGAUGAAUACAUGUACUAUUUGAUAGAACACCGAGUGGCUCAGGCAAAGGGAGAAACACCCAUUGCUGUCAUGGGUGAGUUUGCUGAUCUUGGGCGGGCUUUAAACCCUCUGGACCCUGACAAAGAUGAAGAGGAGGAGGAAGAAGAAAGUGAUGAUGACAGCCAACAAGAGAUUCCAAUGGACAAUGAGACCAUGUUAGUGACGGACUCCUUGGAGCCACCAGCCAAACUGUCACGGACAGACUCGAGGGGGGUGUUUGUUCAAGCACCACCAACCAACUGAAUAUAUAACGUAGGAUGCAAAAGAGGAAAACUUUUGCUUGAAUUUAGUAUCAUUAACUCUCCCGGCACCUGAUAGCCAUUGCAUAGAAAGACAUUGUCUAUAGUUAUCACGAAUAUCAAACUUCUACCAAAAUUAUUUUAGUUCAACAUUUAUUUAUAAAUUGUAUUUAAGAAAUAAAGAAAAUCUUUCCACUAGGAGUAUAGUAUAUUAGUAAAUGACUGCUGUUACAUCAUUACUAACUUUAAAAACACUCAGCUCGCAGAUUAUAUGAGAGCUAAAGCACUACCAAGCUCAGUAUUGUGCUGCUUUUGAAUGUCACAGGAGCCCAAAAUUGCCCAAACACCACAAUUUAAUCUCAUUCAGCAGAUAUUUGCUCGUUUUUUGUUAAGAAAAUAAGUAACAUUGAAUAUUUCUUUGGUGCUGCUGUAAUAACACAAAAUGGAAAAUCACUCUGAUUUCAAAAGCAAAUACGGAUUGAGGUUCGCUCAAAACCUUGUAUUUAGGUACACUAAAAAGUGCUCACUUAUAGGAAGCAGAGUGCUUGGUGUUGGGCUUUCUAGUGUACCAUUAGUGAGAAUAAACUUUGAAACCUACUGGAUGGUUAGGCCAGCUUUUAUGGGUUUCCUCAAUUUAAAAAAAAAUUGCACAAGAAACAUAACCCAGCAAAAAUAAUCGACAGUUAACCAGCUGACAGGAAUAGAAGGUUGAAGAGAGGAUGCAGGAAUUAAAUUGCUGAGACAUAACUCACUGAUAAUGACAAACUUGCUCAUACUUUCACUCUGGUAGAGCAUUUCUCUUUUCAAUCAGUCUUGGAAGGGUUCUUCAGCUGUUUUGGUUGUCACUGACUUUUAAAGCGCUGUGUAUUAGACUUGUUAAAAGAAUGUGCAGCUUUCAUAUGGCCACCAGCUGGUUUGCAUAACAGAAAAACACUUUUUUUUAACUUUCACACAGGUAAAUCAUUUAUAAUUGUUAUGAUAUUUUCUUCUACCGUUCAUAGAAUUAAGGUUAUGUCAAGCAAAAUCUACAUCACCUUGCUGUUUUGUCCUUUGAAUCUGUGGCCCUUCAACUGCAGCCCUGUUUAUUGCUUCUCAACUUGAAGAACUGAGCACUUACAUAGAGUACAAUAAGCCAAGCAGAUGGGACAGGAUCAUAAUUACAACCUGUGUACUUCAUGGCCAUCAUCCACAUGUUGUCUUGACCCAGCAUCUGAUGUUCUUUCCUCCCUGAGGAAACCAGUGGAAUUAAUUGCAAUUUGUAAGCACAAUGUUCUUACACAACCAAAGUGUGUAAUUGGAACCAUGUCCAGCCUGGCAGUGUAAUGGAGCUGGAUGUAAAAUGAAAAUAUAUAUACAGCAGGAUUUCUGAUUUACUUCCAGCUAAACUAUGGUAGUGGAAUGGGAUACAUUUGAGGAGCCCAGGUUUUGAUUUAUAAAAGAUGUUGACUCCUAUAUAUUUUAUUGCAAUUAUAAACCAAUAAAUUCAAGCAUCCUCCAUUUUGAGGCAAGUUUUAGUAUCUUGCGGAAACGUAUUUAUAUAUCCGAGAUUAUUCUGCAUCACACAGAUCCAAAUUAUGAAUAUAUAUUUGAGAAAUGGGCAUUGCUGCAUUAGGCUUUCUGUUUAAUUUAGCUAUUAUUUACCAUUUUUACGAAGCUAUCCUUUGUACACGAGAGGAUCCUUACCUCUGUUGUGAAGGGUGUAUUCGCUCAACUUCUUUCUGCACUGCAGAACUUAGCUGAUGCCUCAUAGUUCUGGUACAUUAGAGAACGUCUAAAGAAUACAGCCUCAAACUAAGAUAAGUGCCUCUGUCAAACCACCCGAAGAUAGGUUUGCAGAAAGAUAAUGCACAGUGGUUACCACUCUCUCUUCACCAAUAAUAUGACAUUGAAUUCAGUUUCCUUCACACAAUUCUAGUCAACAUGAUGAGCCUGAUGGCAGAACAGUCUGUUGCCUUUUGUUAACACUUAAUAUUAACUUAAUCAUUUGUAGGGUUUUUGUUUUUCUCCUUUUUCAAAUAAAGAGUGUGUGAUGUGACUUAUGUAUUUUGCAGUUAAUUGAGGCACUUGUAAUAUAUUUGUUGUACCAGUUUGUAACUCCAAAUUACAUAUAGUUUUGAAAAACUAAACAAUCUGUGCUUUUGUACGUAAUUAUAAUAUUUAUUACACGUUGCAUUAAUAUUGGGUGAGUUGUGAAAAGAAAAUGAUUAUUUGAUAUAUUUGUUUCUGAACCAUUAUGGCCUUAUUUGUUGGAACCUUAGUCUUGAGAUACAUCUGUGAAAUAGUUGGAUGCCGUUCUGUAUCGGAAAAGUAAAUAUUGUAUUUUGUAUAAACAAGAAAUGCUUAGUUUUGUUGUAAACUGGGUACUUUGGUUAGCUUUUGCUGAGCUACGGAUCUCGAGAGAACUAAGCAGUGUUUGAGACUGCGCUGUUUAGUGUUGUCAUUCAGCUUGGGGUGAUAUGUAAGCAUUUGUAUGAGUGUUUCGUUUUGGUGCAAAAGCUGUUUUCUACUUUUUGUAGUGUUUCUUUUAAAUAAAAGAGCAGAUAUAACAAAAA